rnacentral:rRNA from 1 species
AUUCCUACGGGAGGCAGCAGUGGGGAAUUUUCCGCAAUGGGCGCAAGCCUGAUCCAGCCAUGCCGCGUGAGUGAUGAAGGCCUUAGGGUCGUAAAGCUCUUUCGCCAGGGAUGAUAAUGACAGUACCUGGUAAAGAAACCUCGGCUAACUCCGUGCCAGCAGCCGCGGUAAUACGGAGGGGGUUAGCGUUGUUCGGAAUUACUGGGCGUAAAGCGCGCGUAGGCGGAUCAGAAAGUUGGGGGUGAAAUCCCGGGGCUCAACCCCGGAACUGCCUCCAAAACUCCUGGUCUUGAGUUCGAGAGAGGUGAGUGGAAUUCCGAGUGUAGAGGUGAAAUUCGUAGAUAUUCGGAGGAACACCAGUGGCGAAGGCGGCUCACUGGCUCGAUACUGACGCUGAGGUGCGAAAGUGUGGGGAGCAAACAGGAUUAGAUACCCUGGUAGUCCACACCGUAAACGAUGAAUGCCAGUCGUCGGGUAGCAUGCUGCUCGGUGACACACCUAACGGAUUAAGCAUUCCGCCUGGGGAGUACGGUCGCAAGAUUAAAACUCAAAGGAAU